GCUGUUGUAGCUCAGUGGUAGAGCACGUCCUUGGUAAGGACGAGGUCGAGGGUUCAAGUCCCUUCAACAGCUCCA
rnacentral:tRNA from 1 species